UACGUAGGGGGCGAGCGUUGUCCGGAUUUAUUGGGCGUAAAGAGCUCGUAGGCGGUUUGGUAAGUCGGGUGUGAAAUCUCCACGCUCAACGUGGAGGGGCCACUCGAUACUGCCAUGACUCGAGUCCGGUAGAGGAGUGUGGAAUUCCCGGUGUAGCGGUGAAAUGCGCAGAUAUCAGGAGGAACACCGGUGGCGAAGGCGGGUCUCUGGGCCGAUACUGACGCUGAGGAGCGAAAGCAUGGGUAGCGAACAGG
rnacentral:rRNA from 1 species